GAACGCUAGCGACAGGCUUAACACAUGCAAGUCGAGGGGCAGCGGAGCUGAAAGCUUGCUUUCAGCUGCCGGCGACCGGCGCACGGGUGAGUAACACGUAUGCAACCUGGCCGUGACAGAUGGAUAACCGGGAGAAAUUCCGCCUAAUACAGCAUAAUGCCUUGAAGGGACAUCUCUUUGAGGCCAAAGGAGGCGACUCCGGUCACGGAUGGGCAUGCGGCGCAUUAGGUAGUUGGUGAGGUAACGGCCCACCAAGCCGACGAUGCGUAGGGGUUCUGAGAGGAAGGUCCCCCACAUUGGAACUGAGACACGGUCCAAACUCCUACGGGAGGCAGCAGUGAGGAAUAUUGGUCAAUGGCCGGAAGGCUGAACCAGCCAAGUCGCGUGAGGGAAUAAGGCCCUAUGGGUCGUAAACCUCUUUUGCCAGGGAGCAAGGGGUUCCACGUGUGGGAUUCCGGAGAGUACCCGGAGAAAAAGCAUCGGCUAACUCCGUG
rnacentral:rRNA from 1 species